AACACCUGGCAGUAGACAAAGAGAGACCUUGUUGGUAGUGUUGUUUUUAUAUCAGCCAGGGGCAGAGUGGAUGGCAUUCCUUUGUUUAUCCUAGCUUGAUGGCUGACUUGGUGGCCAAAGCUGUUUCAUGCCCAGGGCACAUAA
ensembl:snoRNA